rnacentral:rRNA from 1 species
AGACAUCUUUUAAGUUUGAAAGGAGCAAUUGCUUCACUUCUCGAUGAUCCCGCGUUGUAUUAGCUAGUUGGUGAGGUAACGGCUCACCAAGGCGAUGAUACAUAGCCGACCUGAGAGGGUGAUCGGCCACAUUGGGACUGAGACACGGCCCAAACUCCUACGGGAGGCAGCAGUAGGGAAUCUUCGGCAAUGGACGCAAGUCUGACCGAGCAACGCCGCGUGAGUGAAGAAGGUUUUCGGAUCGUAAAACUCUGUUGUUGUUAAAGAACGUUGAUGAGAGUGGAAAGUUCAUCAAGUGACGGUAAACAACCAGAAAGGGACGGCUAACUACGUGCCAGCAGCCGCGGUAAUACGUAGGUCCCGAGCGUUGUCCGGAUUUAUUGGGCGUAAAGCGAGCGCAGGUGGUUUCUUAAGUCUGGUGUAAAAGGCUACUGCUCAACAGUAGUACGCAUUGGAAACUGGGAGACUUGAGUGCAGGAGAGGAGAGUGGAAUUCCAUGUGUAGCGGUGAAAUGCGUAGAUAUAUGGAGGAACACCGGAGGCGAAAGCGGCUCUCUGGCCUGUAACUGACACUGAGCUCGAAAGCGUGGGGAGCAAACAGGAUUAAUACCCUGGUAGUCCACGCCGUAAACGAUGAGUGCUAGAUGUGGGAAGCAUA